CGGGUAGCGCGGGAAGCGGCGCCCUGUCGGCCUCGGCGGCGGGCAGCGCGUGACGCCCUCGGCGGCGUCCAACAGCGAACAGCGCGGGAAGCGGCACCCUCUCGGCCUCGGUGGCGGGCAGCGCGCGGCCUCCUCGGUGGCGUCCAGCGGCGCCCUCUCGGCCCCGGCGGCGCUAGCACUCGUCGGCGGGCGGGUAGGAGGUAGGGAUGCGCCCGCGUGGAAGGAAGUCGAGGAGGAGCGCGGCGGGGAGAGGAAACGGGGCCGGCGGUUCUGGGUCGCCAGCGAAGUGGCCCAACGCCGCGGCGGGGCGGGCUAUCGGAGGGUCGCCGGCGGACGGCGGUAGGCGCGUCUGACGAAGUGGCUGCGGGCGCCGGCGAAGUGGUCCGGUGCCGCAGCGGGCGGGUAGGGACACACACGUUGCCGACUUUUAAAGCUAGACGCUACCACGCGCCUCUAGUUCGCUACUGCCGUUGUCGCAGCCCGAAACGUCCAUAACUAGGGGGGGAGGGGAAGGGGUCGUUACGAACUUAACCUGACGUACUUACUUAAACGACCGUGCUCAUACGUUCUAUCUUUUUAUUCACUUAGAAAACUACAACGGGGGAGGCGUAAUCAUACCUUAAGUCUUUAAUAGAACAAUAGAAACGGGUGAUCGUAAAAGAUCUGAUUAUUACCAUCACGUCUAAAGUCGAUCUCGAACGUCUCAAGAUUUUAUACAACUGGUUUAGCAAAGAAGUUUUGGACCAAGUGUUUAUGAUACUAGAACGAUGAUCGAAGAUACUCACACCGACCUGACUUAGGAAGGUGAAACGAGUAUCGUAAAAUCCACCUUACCACUUGGAACUUCGCCUUCAUGGUUUGCCAUGCUCGUGAAAGACCGGGAUACCGAACUCAACUUCGGACCCUACUUCCAGCAAAAAGAAUACUUCUAGCUUAUUGGGUACCAAAACCUACAGUCCAACCUUAUCCGUCCGGUAAUUCUCUUUAAGGUUCUAAAUCCAAAUUAAGGACAAAGCGCGAAAGUGGAGAGAAGUAUGCACACUUAUGACUACACAAGCCCAAAUCUUUAAGAGUAUACGUACUAAUUACGUUGACUUCACUAAGUACAAAAAGAAUGAAAGUUGACUUUUGAACACCCCCGUACUAAAACUCCUCCGCUAGGUCCAUAAUAAGUAGAAAGUUAAAAAAAUAGUACUAGACAGAGAAACUUUUUCAACUUUUGGAUUAUACUACCAAAUGUCUCGUGGUUAUUCAAUCUCUUCAAGCUGGAGUUGGAAAGGUCCUUAAUUAGAUAAAACCUUGCCUCGAGGUGGAGUCAAUGACUAACUUGUUGUUGCUGAUGGUUUAUUGAUCCCUUUCCAACAAGUUACGAGUAAUAAAAAACCAACUAAGAAGAUAACUGACACUAAUAAAUAAAACCAUAAAUAAAUAAAAAACCAACUAAGAAGAUAACUGACACUAAAAAAAAACCACUGCUCCAGCGGUGGUUCUUGCCCAGUGACUAUCAUAGUUGUACCUCCGCACGGAAUCGGACCUCGGGUCGUUCUUCUAGUAGCCCUCGAAGCCCUGUAAACUCUGCCGGCAAGAGGUACACCGGUUGCGGUAGGUCGACGUCCGUAACGCGGCCGGAGCCGUCCUCAGCCAGUUCGGGUUACCGGUUGAACGUAAAAGUGCAGUUCGUACCGACUAAUAAUCUCCCGUUCCUUUCUACCUCAUCGUCUUCGUAACGAAUGCUACUCAAGUAGCCCAGUUGUCACGUGUAAUUGUUCGUAACGGACGACAGACGGAAGCGGAUGAAACUGCUCCUACUGUCGCCCAUGUAGUGGCAACUGGCGACCUUCUCCACACGACCCUCAUGUUGUGUUCGACUGGCCGUAGCACUGUAGCGGUCCCUCCAGCCGUGACUGUUGUACGCAAGCAUUACUGAACUUCUUUCGUAUACUCUUCGCUCAUAUCCUCGAAAUUAUAAUCUCGUUGUCCCCUCCUCGUUUACUAACUUCCCGAUAGUCGGCACAUUUUCUUUCGACUCCUAUUGCAGUUGUCCACCUUUUGAUAUAAACCAACUGUAUUAUUGUGAUCGUUUCCACUUAUUGUUACAUUGUAAUAGAAAAGUAAUCAACUAGGUAAGUUGAAAACAAACUAUACUGACCGUACUAUAAACCUAUCCUUUCAAUAAACAAUUGAGGUAUAGUAAAAAUACACGUUCGAUUAUUAAUACGUGACACGUAAACGGACGUUAAAGGAUCUUCAAGAGGUAUUAAAAGCUUCUUUUACAAAACACUUCAUAUCAAAGAGUUCUUUUAAUUUUACACGAACAUCAUUAAAAAAGGAUUUCAAAACAGUAGAACAUCUUACUAGCUGUUGCCCGAGGGUCAUUUUCUUAUCCUAUCCUCGACAUCCAUUAUUUUUUACUC
rnacentral:rRNA from 1 species